GAACGAACGCUGGCGGCGUGCCUAACACAUGCAAGUCGAGCGGGAAAGUUCCCUUCGGGGGAGCGAGUACAGCGGCGAACGGGUGAGUAACACGUAGGUAACCUACCCUGGAGACUGGGAGUAACCUGCCGAAAGGCGGGCUAAUACCAGAUAAGACCACGAGGGCUGCGGCCCUUGAAGGUAAAAGAUGGCCUAUGCUUGCAAGCUAUCACUCCGGGAUGGGCCUGCGCGCCAUAGCUAGUUGGUGAGGUGACGGCUCACCAAGGCAGGAGAU
rnacentral:rRNA from 1 species